GUGUCAGCAGCCGCGGUAAAACGUAGGUGGCGAGCGUUAUCCGGAUUUACUGGGCGUAAAGCGUGUGCAGGCGGUUCAACAAGUGGUGUAUGAAAGGUUUCGGCUCAACCGAGAUAGGUUAUGCCAGACUGUUGAACUAGAGUGUGAGAGAGGGACGUGGAAUUCCGGGUGUAGUGGUGAAAUGCGUAGAGAUCCGGAGGAACCCCAGAGGCGAAGGCGGCGUCCUGGCUCACAACUGACGCUCAGACACGACAGCAUGGGGAGCGAACGGGAUUAGAAACCCCAGUAGUCC
rnacentral:rRNA from 1 species